UACGGAGGGUGCAAGCGUUAUCCGGAUUCACUGGGCUUAAAGGGUGCGUAGGCGGGCAGGUAAGUCAGUGGUGAAAUCUCCGGGCUUAACCCGGAAACUGCCGUUGAUACUAUCUGUCUUGAAUAUUGUGGAGGUAAGCGGAAUAUGUCAUGUAGCGGUGAAAUGCUUAGAUAUGACAUAGAACACCAAUUGCGAAGGCAGCUUACUACACAGUUAUUGACACUGAGGCACGAAAGCGUGGGGAUCAAACAGG
rnacentral:rRNA from 1 species